rnacentral:rRNA from 1 species
UACGUAGGGGGCAAGCGUUGUCCGGAAUUAUUGGGCGUAAAGAGCGCGUAGGCGGUCCGAUAAGUCGGCUGUGAAAGUCAGGGGCUCAACCCUUGAAAGCCGGCCGAUACUGUCGGACUAGAGUCCGGAAGAGGCAAGUGGAAUUCCCGGUGUAGCGGUGAAAUGCGCAGAUAUCGGGAGGAACACCAAUGGCGAAGGCAGCUUGCUGGGACGGUACUGACGCUGAGGCGCGAAAGCAUGGGUAGCAAACAGG